AGGAGCAUCAGGUUCCCUGUCUUUAAUUCAUUCCCACUGAACCUGCUUUGCAUGAGUACCUGAGGGACCCAAGAGGAAAAAAAGCUGAGGGGAAAAAAAAGGAGAAAACGUAGAUCUACUAUAUCAUGCUAUUCACCUGGGAUACAAAAGUGGACUAAGAAAUUUAAUAAUGUUAAGCAUCAUCUCCAUUGAUUUUUUGCAAGUGCUGCAUUCAGAGAAGAUCUCUUCCAAUUUAGAUUUCCAGAUACUUUGACUUUGAGCUCUAACAACUUUAUAACCUCCCCAAAGCCCCUCAUAAAUGCAUUGCAAUGGUCACAUGAACAUUUCGGGCGUGGUACCAGCACCAUUUUUUGUCCUCUCUACUAUGGCACUUUAAGAGGAUAAAGCCAAAAAAGUUUUUUUUUUUUUUAAUUGAAAGUAUUCCAAAAAAUGAAUCUUAUUGUGAAACUUCGUAGAAGUUUCAGAACACUGGUAAUUCUUUUAACCACCUUCUGUUUAGUAAGCAUAGUCAUUUCCGCCUAUUACUUAUAUACAGGCUACAAGCAGGAGAUGACCCUAAUUGAAACCACUGGAGAAGCAGAAUGUGAGGGCCUUAAACUUUUACCAUACAGGUCCAUGGAGCUGAAGACUGCUAAGCCGAUGGAUCCAUCUAAUACUGACCCUAUCGUCUUGCUAUUUGUGGAGAGCCAGUACUCCCAACUUGGACAAGAUAUCAUAGCCAUCCUCGAGUCUAGUCGAUUCCAGUACCAUAUGGUGAUUGCACCUGGAAAAGGUGACAUUCCUCCUCUUACGGAUAGUGGCAAAGGGAAAUAUAUGCUUGUUAUAUACGAGAAUAUUUUAAAGUAUGUGUCCAUGGACUCAUGGAAUAGAGAGCUUCUGGAAAAAUAUUGUGUGGAAUACAGUGUUAGCAUAAUUGGUUUUCAUAAAGCCAAUGAGAACAGCUCACCAAGUAUUAAAUUAAAAGGAUUUCCACUAGACCUUUACAAUAAUGUUGCCCUCAAAGAUUGCUUUGUAAACUCUCAAUCUCCUCUACUGCACAUUACCAAAGCACCAAGGAUUGAGAAAGGCCCACUACCUGGGGAAGACUGGACAGUUUUCCUAUUUAAUCACUCCACCUACCAACCUGUGCUUUUAACUGAAUUACAGACUUCCAGAUCCUUCCCAGCAUCAUUGCCUAAGUCUCCACUUUAUGCUACUGUGAUCCAGGACUUGGGGCUUCAUGAUGGGAUUCAGAGAGUCCUUUUUGGAAACAACUUGACCUUUUGGCUACACAAGUUGAUCUUUAUAGAUGCUGUCUCUUUCCUAACGGGGAAGAAGCUUGCAUUGUCCUUGGAUAGGUACAUUCUUGUUGAUAUAGAUGACAUCUUUGUUGGAAAGGAGGGAACAAGAAUGAACGUCCAGGAUGUGAAGGCAUUACUAGAGACUCAAAAUUUACUGCGCACUCAGGUUGCAAAUUUUACCUUCAACCUUGGAUUUUCAGGAAAGUUUUACCACACAGGAACCGAAGAGGAGGAUGAAGGUGAUGACCUGUUGUUGGGGUCUGUGGAUGAGUUCUGGUGGUUUCCCCAUAUGUGGAGUCACAUGCAGCCUCAUUUGUUCCAUAAUGAGUCAUCACUGGUGGAGCAGAUGAUUCUCAACAAGGACUUUGCACUAGAACAUGGUAUUCCAACUGACAUGGGCUAUGCAGUGGCUCCGCACCACUCUGGGGUUUACCCUGUACAUGUUCAGCUUUAUGAGGCCUGGAAGAAGGUUUGGGGUAUCAAAGUCACAAGCACAGAAGAGUAUCCACAUCUAAAACCUGCACGGUACAGACGGGGCUUCAUCCACAAUGGCAUCAUGGUACUUCCUCGACAGACCUGUGGCCUUUUCACCCACACAAUUUUCUACAAGGAGUAUCCUGGGGGCCCUCAAGAAUUGGACAAAAGCAUCCGAGGGGGUGAACUCUUCCUCACCAUCCUCCUGAAUCCCAUCAGCAUCUUCAUGACCCAUUUGUCCAACUACGGGAAUGACCGCCUGGGGUUAUAUACCUUUUUGAAUCUGGCCAACUUUGUUAAGAACUGGACUAACCUAAAACUACAGACCCUGCCUCCAGUUCAGCUGGCUCACAAGUACUUUGAACUCUUCCCUGAGCAAAAGGACCCUCUCUGGCAGAAUCCAUGUGAUGAUAAACGGCAUAGGGAUAUCUGGUCCAGAGAUAAAACUUGUUACCAUCUUCCAAAAUUCCUUGUGAUUGGACCUCAGAAAACAGGAACAACAGCACUUUAUUUAUUUCUCCUUAUGCAUCCUUCUAUCAUCAGUAAUCUCCCUAGUCCAAAAACUUUUGAAGAAGUUCAGUUCUUCAACGGAAACAACUAUCACAAGGGAAUUGACUGGUACAUGGAUUUCUUUCCUACCCCUUUGAAUGUCACCACUGACUUUCUGUUUGAGAAAAGUGCCAACUACUUCCAUUCAGGGGAGGCUCCCAGACGAGCAGCUUCCCUGGUCCCCAAGGCCAAGAUCAUCACCAUUCUCAUUGACCCAUCAGAUCGGGCAUACUCCUGGUAUCAGCACCAGCGAUCUCAUGAGGACCCUGCUGCUCUGAAGUUCAAUUUCUAUGAAGUGAUUACAUCAGACCAUUGGGCUCCCUCAGAGUUAAGGACUCUCCAGAAGAGAUGUCUGAUCCCUGGGUGGUACGCUACCCAUAUAGAAAGAUGGCUAACUCAUUUUCCCACUUCCCAGGCAACAAGUACCGGCCUACGAGCAGCAGAGUUUGCAUGGGAUGCAAAGUUCCCAAAAAAAUAUGCCUGCAAGUUGGGGGAUCUAUGGCAGUUGCUAAUUAUUGAUGGACAGCAGCUAAGAAGUGACCCAGCUACAGUGAUGGAGGAAGUGCAGAAGUUUCUGGGAGUCUCACCUCAUUAUAAUUACUCUGAAGCUCUAACGUUUGACCCUCAGAAAGGCUUUUGGUGUCAGCUGCUGGAAGGAGGGAAGACAAAAUGCCUGGGAAAAAGCAAAGGCCGAAAAUACCCACCAAUGGAUCAGGAGUCUAGAGCUUUUCUUUCAAGCUACUACAGAGAUCACAAUGUGGAACUGUCCAAACUACUGCACAGAUUGGGACAACCCUUGCCAUACUGGCUGAGACAGGAGCUUCAGAAAGUGAGAUAGCACUGAUGUUCAGAGGACCAAAGUCUAAUGACAGUUACCGGCACCAUAAAACCCCUCGCUUCCCUGAUUCACUUGUGAUUGUCAGUAGAGGACCUCAUGAAUAACUGUCUCAAAAUUAAAUACAAAUAUAAAACUGUUUAUAUAUGCACGCACUGACAGCUAUUAGCAUCAACUCCUUUGUCAGCUUCUGGGACACAAUAUAGAGCUAUGUGGCAUUAUUCUUUAUCCAGCCUGGGACUCAUGCAUAGUCUAGUCCCUCUGUUUACCAGAAAGUUCCAGAAACUGUAUGUAUGAUUGAUAGUCUUCAUCAUAUAUGACAAAUUACAGCCUGUCAGGACACAAGCAAAGGACAGAAACAUCUCUCGGUGGAUUAUGAGAGUAUCCUUUUAAUGCGACUGCUAAAGUGUGGACCUAUCUACAGAUUGGAUCCCCCAUCACUAUCAUAUCUGGAAAAGCUAGCAGAAAAUAAGGAUUUGCAAACAACAGAGAUUCUUAAGUGUUCAGUGUUCCAGUGACUGGAUACUUUUUAUAAAACAUAAUCAGCAUCAUUUGGAAAUAUUUUUUUAAAAAGUCCUAGUCAAAGACCUGAGACAUGGGCAAAAAGCUAAUGGCCUUGCCUAUGGGGUUUUUUUUUUUGGUUUCUUUUUCUAUCUGACAACAGCACAUUCAGUUUAACUCUGAUAUAUGCUUGAGGUUUGGGAAAAAGCAAAAUAAAUUUUGAUCACAAAGUAUUUUUGUUUGGGGCAGGGAGAAAAUCUGUAUUUGUUGAAAUUGUUUUAAGUAAUUGUGUACACACCUUCUUAGUUCUUCUCACUUCUACAGAAUAAACACCUCUGCUGGUA